GACAGAGGCCUCAAGCGUUAGGCGGAAUCACUGGGCUUAAAGCGUGUGUAGGCGGAUCGUUAAGUGCCUUGUGAAAUCCCACGGCUUAACUGUGGAACGGCUGGGCAUACUGGCGGUCUUGAGCCAUCUAGGGGCGACUGGAACAAACGGUGGAGCGGUGAAAAUGCGUAGAUAUCGUUUGGAACGCCAAUGGUGAAAACAGGUCGCUGGGGAUGAGCUGACGCGU
rnacentral:rRNA from 1 species